UUGGUCAAGUUGCAGGUGGUGGAAGAACUGAGAAGCCGAUGCUAAAUGCUGGUAACACAUACCACAAGUACCGUGUGAAGAGAAACAUGAUUCGGUUCUUAUUUAUCUAGGUUCUUCCUAGGUUCGAACAAAGUGAUGCAGGUUGCUCUUGGUCGUGCUGCUUCUGAUGAAUUCCGUUCUGGUAUCUACAAGUCUCCAAGAUCAACAAACAAGCUUGACUAUGAUCAUCCAAAUUCUGUUUGAUGAAUGCUUAGCCAAGUUCCAAUAAUUGAUGGAAUUUAUCUUGAGGCUUAUCUACCACCAAAGAAGUUACUUCAGCGAGAAAGAUAUUCACAGAGCACACGUAACAAGCCUUCACAUGAUCACUCAGAGACUGAGCUAAGCAAUGCUCACGGCGAGGUGAUUGAACAAGGCUUCAAGCUGGAAUGGUUGAAGUUAAAGCUUG